GAGCCGGGUACUCGGCAUCCUGCGUACCACUCGCCCGCCAGACGCGCUCCGGGCUUCUCCUCUUCCUCCGACGCGGGGCGGCUGCCCAGACAUCCCCGCCUCUAGGUCUGGAGAACUCCCGAACCCGCCCGCGGAGUAGAGCGAGGCCGGGAGUCUGGAGGUCCCCAAGGCGCUCUUUGUCGUGGAGACGCGGGGACUAGACCCUGGGAUGAGCGGAGGAGGGCGGCGCAGGCACUGACGCGAGUUGGGACCAGGACAACCCGCCGCUGGCAGGGGGAUGCGCCAGCCCCGGCAGACAACCUAACCCGGUGCACGCGCCAGGUGGAGCGCGCAGGUGGGACUGCGCUCUCCGUGGUCCGCCCCGCGCGGGUCCCCUGCUGGCCGGAGGAUGGGCACUGGUGCCCCAGGGCUGCGCCCGCCGCUGCUGCCCCCACCGCGAGCCCGGCGUCAGGCUGGCGUCCCAUGCUCAUGGACGGCGGCUCCCGGCUGGCGGCGGCGCGCUCCCGGGCUGUGAAUGCGACUCUCCCUGUGUCCGCGCUCCCCGCCCGCCCGCCCGCCGGGACGUGGUAGGGGAUGCCCAGCUCCACUGCGAUGGCAGUUGGCGCGCUCUCCAGUUCCCUUCUGGUCACCUGCUGCCUGAUGGUGGCUCUUUGCAGUCCGAGCAUCCCUCUGGAGAAGCUGGCCCAGGCACCAGAGCAGCCGGGCCAGGAGAAGCGCGAGCACGCGUCUCGGGACGGCCCGGGGCGAGUGAGCGAGCUCGGGCGCGCAGCGAGAGACGAGGGCAGCAGUGCCCGGGACUGGAAGAGCAAGAGCAACCGUGGGUUCUCCAGCCGCGAAGCGUGGAGCAAGCAGAAGCAGGCCUGGGGUGUCCAAGGCGGGGGCGCCAAGGCUGCGGACUUGCAGGUCCGACCUCGCGGGGACACCCCCCAAGGGGAGAUCCCGGCCGCAGCCGCCCAGGACGCGAUCAGCCGGGAACUCGCGCCUACGCCAGAGCUGCCUGAGGAGUAUGCGUACCCAGACUACCGAGGGAAGGGCUGCGUAGACGAGAGUGGCUUCGUGUACGCUAUUGGGGAGAAGUUCGCGCCGGGUCCCUCUGCCUGCCCAUGCCUGUGCACCGAGGAGGGGCCGCUGUGCGCACAGCCUGAAUGCCCGAGGCUGCACCCGCGCUGCAUCCACGUCGACACGAGCCAGUGCUGCCCGCAAUGCAAGGAGAGGAAGAACUACUGCGAGUUCCGGGGCAAGACCUAUCAGACUUUGGAAGAGUUCGUGGUGUCUCCAUGUGAGAGGUGCCGCUGUGAAGCCAACGGUGAAGUGCUCUGCACAGUGUCGGCUUGUCCCCAGACAGAGUGUGUGGACCCCGUGUAUGAGCCUGACCAGUGCUGUCCCAUCUGCAAAAAUGGUCCAAACUGCUUUGCAGAAACUGCUGUCAUUCCAGCUGGCAGAGAAGUGAAGACCGACGAGUGCACCAUAUGUCACUGUACUUAUGAGGAAGGAACAUGGAGAAUUGAGCGGCAGGCCAUGUGCACGAGACACGAAUGCAGGCAGAUGUAGACACUUCACAAUAUAAAAACUCUCACGUUUUUCUAGACCCUUUUACUGAUGUGAACAUUCUAGAUGAAUGGGAAGUAUCAAUCAAAAGGAAAAGACUUUUGAUAAGGAAUCAUGGAAAAUAGUUGGUACAUUUGCUUUUCUUGGUAACAAUUACUGCAAAAGAAGGAGAUGGAUAUAUUUCAAAACAUCAACAAGAACUUUGGGCAUAAAAUCCCUCUCUAAAUAAAUGUGCUAUUUUCACAGAUGGUUGGAGGCAAACUGUCUAGACCACAGAGACCCUGGACCUUGAGGAAACUUCUACACAUUACCCAUGAUUCUGACAUUCAACUUGGAUGAAGUAACUGAGUAAGAGUUUGAAGUUGUAUUACAUGGGGGACAGAAUGAGCAUACUACAUAUAGAAUUUAUUAAUGUGAAGGUAUGCAUCAAUGCAGGUUAGUUAAAGGGAGUGCCCCCUUUUUACUCCUUUUUCUGUAUUAAAGAGAUCAAAAUUAAUCUAUUUCCAGUCUCCUUUAAGUGUCAAAUGGCCUGUGACACUAUUCUGUUAGAGAUAAUGUAAGUCUUAUAAUGGGUUUGUAUAUUCAUUUUUUUAUCUGAAUGGAAGGCAAAUGAAGUGUCUGGAGACUUAAUAGCACUUGCAACCAUGAGGACAGAAGUUGUGCUAGGAAUGAAGGAGAAGAGCCCAAAUGGCCAGAGGUCAGGACACCAUAGAGCCUCUGCACCAGCUAACAAAGACCAGGGAGUCAGGGCUCUUGGUAAUGUGAAGCUGAAAUCAACUUCACAACUCAGCAGAUGUGUAAAUGAGGGAAAAUCAUUUAAUAAUUAUGACUCAUAUUUCAUAUAUGAAAUGAGAACAUUAAAAAUCAGUUUGGCAAACUAUGAAAAUCUAUGUGAAGAGUUUACCACAAAAUAAUAAGUACUCAAUAAAUAUUAUCAUUAGUAACAGCAGAAUUAUUAUAUAAGAAAACUUUGAACUUCGCUAGUACUAAAAAUAUGAAAAUAUGGGAAACUUUUCCAUCUAUCAAACAAUAAUCUUUAAAAUGACAUCCGAGAGGGAACAGUGAAAUAUGAGCUCUUACAUAUCACUGGUGAUACUAUAAAUUAGAAUAAUUAUUUAGUAAAUGAUGUCUCAAAUUAUCCAAAGGAUUAGAAAUAUCUAAGUCUAGCAAUUCUACUUUUGGGUAUUCAUCAUGAAGAUGAUUUUUAAAAUGCCAUAGGAUUUUCAUAAAGAUGUCAAUCAGAAUACUACAUAUAACAGAGAAACUUUGUAAGCAACAUAAUAUUCUAGAUGUUAGCAACUGUCUGAUAUAUAGAAAUACUUAACCAUGUUAUUCUAUUUUUGCUAAAGAAAUAAAAUUCUAAAUUCAUUGAAAUUACAUAAAUGAAAUGAAUAAAAUUCUAUGGAAAGACAUAUAUCAUAAUAUUAAGGAAAUUCUGGCUCCCUAAUGGUACAUAUAAGAUAAAUAAAAAGUUCACACAAAAGGAGGAAAUUCUUUGGGCACCUUGGCAAUACCUCAGCUACUCAAAAGUCUGAGUGUAGGCUUCCUACUCAAGUGCAUUCACCUCAAGGCUGCAACCAAGCAAUGGUCAGGGGAACCAUGUGCUAACUGGCUUAAAAGAAAACUGCCUAGAGUAAGCAAAACUGGUGCUGUGUUAGGAAAAAGGGAAAGAGUGAGUUGAUACUAAAGAGAUAAGCAGUAAUGUUUCUCUAAAAUUCUACCACUUUAAUUUUUCAAAUUACAUUUAUUGCUUCCAAGAUUUUGAAAGUCAUUUAUUUAAUUGAAGAAAAUUUGGAGAACUGAAAGUGUCAAAAACUCACACAUGAUCCUAUAACAAUGAGACAUUCAGUGUUAACAAUAUGGUGCAUUUAAAAAAUCUGAACAAAUAAUAACAGUGCAGAUAAACUAAUAAAUUAUAUAUAAUCCUAAUUAAUUCCUUUAAUUUGGAAAUAUGAUUUUAAUGGCUCAGUAACAGUUUUUCAUGUGGAAACAGCAUAAUUUAUUCAAUAAUUUCUCUCUUGUAGAUCACUUGUCAUUUCCUUUUUAUUAGUGUAUAAAAUAUGUCAAUUAAUAUCAUUGGAUGUAAUAUUUUACCUGAUUUCUGAUACACUGCCUUAGGAUAGUUUUCAAAAGGUAAGAUUAUUGGAUCUAAUUUUUUAAGGAUCUUUUUACAUACUGCCAAAUGAGCACAUACUACAUAUUGUGAGAAAAAAUCUAAUAAAUACAAAAUGAGAAUAAUAUUUGCCCUUCUAACUUCAGAGGUUGGUAAAAAUAUCAGAACAUAUAAUUUUCAAAAACAUUGUGAAAAUUAUGGCAUUAUAUAUGUGUAAGAUAUUAUUAUUUUUUAAUGUAAAAUAUUUUGAUGCAAGCAAAAAUAUUCAACAGAAGCUGAUUUAUGAUAAUUUCUCUUGGGUUAUUUUAUGAUUUUUAUCAUACAUAUUGUCAUAAAUUUAAACAACCUUUCAAUAGCCUGUCUGACAUUAUAACAGAAGGUACUUUUGUCUUAGCUAUUGAAGUAUUUUUACUCAAAUGAUUUUAAAUGUCUAUUAAUUAAUUAUUAUGCACUUAACUAUAUCCUAUGAAGAAGGUUAAAACACAGGAAUAUCCUAUAACUGAAUGUGAAAGACAAAUAUACAACCAACUAAAAUAAAUGAUAAAUAAUACAAUAAAGCAAAAACAUUUCACCAUGGGAAACAGGAACAUGAAAUAAUUAAUGUCUCGCUUUCUUCUAUGUUUUUCCUUUGCUUCAAUUUCUGCCAAUUGUUCUCUUUGCCUGGACUCAUGCUUUCAUCUUAUGUUGUUCUAAAUUUUGGUAUUUGUGAAGGUUCAUUUCCAGUCUGCCUAUCUAAACUAAAAAUCCUGAACUUACUCCUAUCACCCUCUUUUUUUUGGUCUACUCUUACCCAGAUCACCUAUGUCUUCAGUAUAGAUUUUGACCUCUAGGACUUACUACUGCCAUCCUAACUCUAUCUCUGCAUUACCAGGCUGACCUACUAUUUAUGUGAUGCUAUUCAUGUGUUAGAAAAACAUAUCAUAAGAUAUGUUAGUAAAAUUUUAAAUAACAGAAUAAAGUUAGCCAGUGUUAAGGAGUAAAAAUUAAGGAAAGAAUUAUAUCGAAUUCAUCAUUUUAUACACUCAAAUUCAUCAUUUUAUACUAGUUAUGAUAACUCAUUCCAGUAGUGUAAAAAUGCUUAAUAUGUUACUUACCAGAGGAAAGAAGGCAUUUGAAAAAAUUCUAUGAAACUAUAUGAAAACAAUCACAUCAUAAUGAUGAAAGAGAUUUAAAAAAAAAAGCACUACCAGGGCUAACAACAAAAUACAGCCACAGUUAAUUUAUCUUCCAUUUUUAUUUGUGUGAGAAUUCCAGGGUUAUAUAUGUCCAUGGGAUGGCUGGGCCAUACACUUAAUUACUGGACCAUACACUUAUUUUAUCAAGGAUAAUAGUUCCCAGCAUAUAAUUAAUACUUUUUCUGUUAAUGUGUUGCCCACUUGUACCUACAUCCAAUUUGUGUAAUUUGGUAAGUACAAAUAUCUGUGUCCUUUUAAGAAAGGAAAUAUGAAGAGCAAAACAGGAAUGUCCCAUAGCAAAGAUGAUACAAAUAUAAAUCAAACAAUAUUUAGGAAAUUGAGAAAAUGUUCAUUUUGUAAGUUAUUUAUGUAUUUUCCUGGUACCUAAAACUUUGAUCAAAGUUUUCAAAUUCAAAUAUAACAUCCUGUGUGACAGAAGAUAAAUAUUAGUCAUGGUAUCAGUAAUAACUAACACAUAAUACUCAUUUUUAAUAGUGAAGUAAAUAAAAUUAAAGUUCUAAUGAGUGAUUCUUUUUCUAGAGGUAUUAUCAAAAAAAAAAAAAAAAA